AGAAACCAGAUAGCCUAUGCCUUUGAACUCCUCUGUUUCAAGUAAGUCAUAUCCCUCUAAAGCUCCUUUAAAUUCUAAUUUAAAUUAAAUAUCUUCCUCUCUACCUCAACCUCUCCCCACCUACUCUCCAUCUUAACCCACCAUAUCUAUUCCAUCUCCCUCUGAACCUCACAACUUUAACCCUUCCUCCCCUCUCUACAACAAUUCGACCUCAC
rnacentral:lncRNA from 1 species